rnacentral:rRNA from 1 species
GAGUAGGGCGGGACACGUGAUAUCCUGUCUGAAUAUGGGGGGACCAUCCUCCAAGGCUAAAUACUCCUGACUGACCGAUAGUGAACCAGUACCGUGAGGGAAAGGCGAAAAGAACCCCGGCGAGGGGAGUGAAAAAGAACCUGAAACCGUGUACGUACAAGCAGUGGGAGCACCCUUCGGGGUGUGACUGCGUACCUUUUGUAUAAUGGGUCAGCGACUUAUAUUCUGUAGCAAGGUUAACCGAAUAGGGGAGCCGGAGGGAAACCGAGUCUUAACCGGGCGUUAAGUUGCAGGGUAUAGACCCGAAACCCGGUGAUCUAGCCAUGGGCAGGUUGAAGGUUGGGUAACACUAACUGGAGGACCGAACCGACUAAUGUUGAAAAAUUAGCGGAUGACCUGUGGCUGGGGGUGAAAGGCCAAUCAAACCGGGAGAUAGCUGGUUCUCCCCGAAAGCUAUUUAGGUAGCGCCUCGUGAAUUCAUCUCCGGGGGUAGAGCACUGUUUCGGCUAGGGGGCCAUCCCGGCUUACCAACCCGAUGCAAACUGCGAAUACCGGAGAAUGUUAUCACGGGAGACACACGGCGGGUGCUAACGUCCGUCGUGAAGAGGGAAACAACCCAGACCGCCAGCUAAGGUCCCAAAGUCAUGGUUAAGUGGGAAACGAUGUGGGAAGGCCCAGACAGCCAGGAUGUUGGCUUAGAAGCAGCCAUCAUUUAAAGAAAGCGUAAUAGCUCACUGGUCGAGUCGGCCUGCGCGGAAGAUGUAACGGGGCUAAACCAU